rnacentral:rRNA from 1 species
CCUACGGGUGGCUGCAGUGGGGAAUUUUGGACAAUGGGCGCAAGCCUGAUCCAGCCAUGCCGCGUGCAGGAUGAAGGCCUUCGGGUUGUAAACUGCUUUUGUGAACAGCCCGGUACCGUAAGAAUAAGCACCGGCUAACUACGUGCCAGCAGCCGCGGUAAUACGUAGGGUGCGAGCGUUAAUCGGAAUUACUGGGCGUAAAGCGUGCGCAGGCGGUGAUGUAAGACAGAUGUGAAAUCCCCGGGCUCAACCUGGGAACUGCAUUUGUGACUGCAUCGCUGGAGUGCGGCAGAGGGGGAUGGAAUUCCGCGUGUAGCAGUGAAAUGCGUAGAUAGGCGGAGGAACACCGAUGGCGAAGGCAAUCCCCUGGGCCUGACUGACGCUCAUGCACGAAAGCGUGGGGAGCAAACAGGAUUAGAUACCCUAGUAUC